UCUCGGCAACGGAUAUCUCGGCUCUCGCAUCGAUGAAGAACGUAGCGAAAUGCGAUACCUGGUGUGAAUUGCAGAAUCCCGCGAACCAUCGAGUCUUUGAACGCAAGUUGCGCCCGAGGCCAUUCGGCUGAGGGCACGCCUGCCUGGGCGUCACGCAAAACACGCUC
rnacentral:rRNA from 3 species